GAUCGAGUUUGAUCCUGGCUCAGAUUGAACGCUGGCGGAAUGCUUUACACAUGCAAGUCGAACGGUAGAGGGGGCAACCCCUUGAGAGUGGCGAACGGGUGAGUAAUAUAUCGGAACGUGCCCAGUCGUGGGGGAUAACGUAGCGAAAGUUACGCUAAUACCGCAUACGAUCUAAGGAUGAAAGCGGGGACUCGCAAGAGCCUCGCGUCGAUUGGAGCGGCCGAUAUCAGAUUAGGUAGUUGGUGGGGUAAAGGCUCACCAAGCCAACGAUCUGUAGCUGGUCUGAGAGGACGACCAGCCACACUGGGGACUGAGACACGGCCCAGACUCCUA
rnacentral:rRNA from 1 species